rnacentral:lncRNA from 1 species
AGCCACCCCAAAACCAGAAUUUAUUUUUAAGCUGAGGUGGAAGGUCAGCUGCAGGGACACGCUGCCACCUCCCUUCUUGACAUGAGCCUCCUUGAGUUGGCACCAGGAUGUAGCAUGGCUCCCACCCUUGCUUCCCCUUUGGUUGGACACUCUCCAAUGCCAGGGUCAUGCACCAACAGAGCAGCUCCAAGAAAGAGCAUUUUCCAAAGCCCAGAUGACUCAGAGUGGUGAGUGUGACCGGAGGGGAGGUUCAGCACCCAGCUCAGACCUUUGUUUGGGAGUUAACGAUUCCUCCAUGCUGAUUUCACCUGCCUGUUCUAUCGUGCCCAGUGCGGUGAAAACAUCCCAGAUACUCUGUAUUACAAGGCCAGCUCUGCAAUUUUGCUGAGUAACUGUAGGCUGCUCACAUAAUCUUUCUGUAAUUCAAUGAGAUGACUGCAUUUGGAAAAGGUUGGAGCACCCACAUCACAAGCCGAUUCUGGGGGCGAACUGAGGUAAUGCUGUAAAGCACCUCCUAUGCACAGACCCAUGGAGCAUGGGAGUGGAUAUGAAGAUGCUCCCUCACCCCUUCCAGGAAGCUGGUAGCUGACAAGGACUCAGGCUCAGUCACUUCCAGCUGUGUGACCAUGCGUAGGUUUCUCAGCUUCCCUGAGCCUUGAUCAUCUCAUUUAUAAAGAACAAAAUACCCAACUGGAAAGGCUGGCGGUAGGAGUAAAUGCAACUGAAUAUGCAGAAGAGCGUGGCACACAUAAUUUUAUGAGAAAGUGGCACUGUCAUACCCUGUCUCAGAUGAAGAAGUUAAGAUUGCAGGAGGUGACACAGACUCCCUGCUAGAAGACAAUGAAUGUUGUAAAAAGCAAGAAAAGGGAAAGAAGGCCAGGGGCAGUAGCAGGCGCCUGCAAUCCCAGCACUUUGGGAGGCCGAGGAAGAUGGAUCACCUGAGCUCAGGAGUUUGAGACCAGCCUGGCCAACAUGGCAAAACCCCAUCUCUACUAAAAAUACAAAAAAUUAGUCCAGUGUGGUGGCAGGCGUCUGUAAUCCCAGCUACUCGGGAGGCUGAGGUGGCAGAAUCGCUUGAACCCUGGAGGCAGUGGUUGCAGUGAGCCGAGAUCACGCCAUUGCACUCCAACCUGGGCGACAAGAGUGAAAUUCCAUCUCUUAAAAAAAAAAAAGGAAAGAAAAGUUGACACUUUUUGCGUUCACAAAUGCUACCCCAAAGAUGCACCGUGGUGUUCAGAGGAGGCUAACCAAGGACCGGAGGAGAGGCGAGGUGGUGUGGCUGUUCAGGAUCAGAGCACUGGAACCCAGCAGGACCGUGUGCCUAUCUCAGUUCCACCAUGCCAGAGCCGUGUGACCUGGGGCAGGUAGCAACGUCUCUGAGCCUCAGUCUCCUCACCCCCUCAUCCCUCCACCUCACAGGUGAAGAGUAACCCUGAGACACUGCCCUUAGCAAUGUGCCUCCCACGAAACACCCUGGAGCAUUGAUGGUGAUGAUGAAGGGGUGGAGGGAGGUGGUGGGUCCUACAGUAGAAGGGUGAAGGCAUCUCAGCCAGAAGGAGCUGGGUUCAAGUGCUAGCUCACCCCCUGUCUGGCUGGGUCCCCUUAGACGAGUAACUUUACUUCUCCAAGCCUCUCGCUCCUCAUCCGGGAAAAUAGAGACGAUGAUACCUUCCUCACAAAGUGGUUGGGAGGAUUCACUGAAUGGGUGGCAUGAAAGUCCCCAGCACGGUGACAUCUCCCUCAGCAGAUGUUUCUGCUCUGUCCCUUCACAUGUGGCAUGAGCUCCUGUGUCUCCCUGUCAACGAGUCAUUCGGAAGGAAAGGCUGGUUACUUUGAAUAGACGCAUAGCUCACUACUGAGGAGAAGUCCUCACCAAGGACUGUUGGAAAGAAGACCUGUGUGUAUUCAUGCUCGAGUCCAGACCCCAAUCUGAACCCAUUUGAAGUGCCUCCCUCCCUCCUGCCCCUCCUCCCUGUCCUCCUCCUCCUUUUUCUUCUUCACAGUGAUGUUGUUCUGGACCCACUGAACUUGCUGCUGGACAGCACUUAGAAUGGUGCCCUAAUGCCUGGCACAUAGUAGAUACUUGAAUAUUUAUUAAGUGAAUAAAUAAAUGCUAUAGAAUAAAACUCAGUCCUUUUUUUAACUGGUGGAGCUAAGUCAUUAUUUCCUGCAUUUGUGAAUAUUUUAAAAUUACAAAAUAAAUUUAUAUUGAUUCUAGAAAAAUAAUUAGAAAAUACAGUUGAUUAAAAAGAAAAAAUAACAGUUCCAUGCAAUCCCAUUGUCCAGCCUUAACCACUGGUGUUAAUUUGCUCUACAGGUCCUUCCAG